UUCUUUUUAGCAAAAGGCCCAACUUUUCUUCUUCUCUCUUUUUUUCUUAUAUGGCCCAAGUGAUUUACUUGAUGGCCCAAUUUGAAAUUAAAUGGGCAAACCCAAAUCUUCACUCCCACCCGUCGCCUAUCCUCUCUCUCUCCUUCACCCCUUUCUUCUUUUCCCCCAAUUUCGAUUCCAAACCCUAACUGAAAGAGAAAGGGGUCCGGAUCGGAGGAACGAGCGGUUACAUUUGCCGGGGUUGCCACUGUAGCGCUCGUCCCGUCGCGUCGGCAUCGUCCUUGCAGAGGAAGGAGCGUCGUUCAUUCGGUGGAACCGCCGUCACCGUUAGCCGCCUCCCGUUCCUCACGGACAACCUCUCCCUAAGCUAAGUUUUCUACCUUCUAUUACUUAGCUCGUUUCGUGGGUUUUUAAAAGGCAAAGUUAUGACAAAUCUAUUCAUAGCUAUUGGUGAUGUUCAAGCUUUGAUUUUGUGAGAGCUCGAUUACUGUGUCUAUUAAAUUAGUUCGUAGUAGAAGCUUUAUGUUGUGAUCCUUGGCAGAAAUUUAGCUCACUGGAAUGAAUCUUUACACAAAAGCUUUAUUCGCUAUUUCUAUGGCUUCUUAAGUGAUCAUGCUUUGUAUGAUUCUAAGUUCUUGGAAAUUUAUGGGGUGUUCUCUAAAUGAUGCAAGAGUGUAUUGUGGGGUUACUUACUGAGAAACGGGCCGUGAGGUUGUGGGAUCUCCGGCCGAGCUUAGAAUGAACUCUCUCUGUUUUGUUCUGCUGUUGGAACGUUGUGUGGAGUUACCGGUUAUGGUGGUGAACAGGCUGCCCUGGCUCCAACUCCUUAAGCCACCCGACUCUCUACUCUCACUCUUGCUAUUUUGCUGGAAGUUUGUUAUGGUGUGUAGGAGGAGAAUUUGAUGCAUAUGGGGGAAUUUUUUAUAGGCUGAAAUCACUUGUCUUUAUGCAUUGUACGCCCCUUGUCCUUGGCCCCUCAUUGCAGCUUUCUUUAACCGAUUUUGGUGGUAUAUUGCAGGUGCACCAGGUUGGGUCAAAGGUUGUUAGAGCAGGGGUGUUGGGGUACUGGAGUGUUGCAGCUGUACUGCAGUUUUCCUCCCUUUCUCUGGCCCAUUGCAGAUUCGGUUAUGGGGUGCAGAGAUUGGUUGUUAUCUGCAGCCUUGCAGUGCUGCAGUUGGAGGGGGAAGUUAGCUUGCUGAUCUUGCCCUUCUCGGCCCAGCCUUCUCUCACUUUUUCGAAAGGCUAAGGUUGUGGUGCCGAGGCUGUCUCUCCUCGUGGCCUCACCCUCUCGUCUCGUCUGGAAUUUUGGGGCCAAGAUGGCUCACGUUGAAGGCCGAGGAAGUCCUCUAGGACUCUUGAUUGUAAUAGAGUAGCUCGAUUUGAGUUUCCCUCUUUUUCUUUACUCUAACAUGUAUGUAGAGUCUAUUGAAAAUAAUGUGUUUCUGUUUUCUUUGUUCUCUUGACUAUUUGUAAGCUUAGACUUUCGCUCGAAAUAAUGACAUAUUGUGUUGCUCAAGAAAUAAAUAAAUAUUCUUUCUUUCUCUUUA